UCCCUGGUGGCUCAGUGGUAAAGCAUCUGCCUGCCAGUGUAGGAGACACAGGUUCAAUCCCUGAUCCAGGAA
rnacentral:tRNA from 1 species